GACGAACGCUGGCGGCGUGCCUAAUACAUGCCAGUAGAACGCUGAAGGAGGAGCUUGCUCUUCUGGAUGAGUUGCGAACGGGUGAGUAACGCGUAGGUAACCUGCCUGGUAGCGGGGGAUAACUAUUGGAAACGAUAGCUAAUACCGCAUAACAGUAGAUGUUGCAUGACAUUUGCUUAAAAGGUGCAAUUGCACCACUACCAGAUGGACCUGCGUUGUAUUAGCUAGUUGGUGGGGUAACGGCUCACCAAGGCGACGAUACAUAGCCGACCUGAGAGGGUGAUCGGCCACACUGGGACUGAGACACGGCCCAGACUCCUACGGGAGGCAGCAGUAGGGAAUCUUCGGCAAUGGACGGAAGUCUGACCGAGCAACGCCGCGGGAGUGAAGAAGGUUUUCGGAUCGUAAAGCUCGGUUGUAAGAGAAGAACGAGUGUGAGAGUGGAAAGUUCACACUGUGACGGUAUCUUACCAGAAAGGGACGGCUAACUACGUG
rnacentral:rRNA from 1 species